AAAAUUUAGUAAAAUGUUUUAUAAGGGAAAAAAGAGUUGCAUGACCUUUAAAAAUGGUACACUUUGAUUUAUACACAACAAUAUACAAAGGCUAAAAAAAAUUGUAUUGUUAUCGUAUAUGUAUCGUGGCAAAUGUUCAGUAUGAAAGAAUGAUUGUCUGGGGCUUGAAAAUAUCAGAUGGCAGUUCAAAAAAUGGCAAUUAUCCAGGGAGGAAAAAUAAGACGGGAGCUGAUUGUCUAGGUGGACAAUUUAAUGGGUCGCCAAUUGUCCUGGUCGAAAAAAAAAAGAGGUGCUAAUUGUCUGAGGAAGUAAAAAUCUGCAGGGAGCCGAAUGUCUGGUUGCUGUGUGGAGGGAUACAUUGUUUUAUAUUUUGGCUUUGUUUGACAAAAGCAUUCCAUUAAGUACCAGCUAGGCCACAACACAAUAUUUAUUAACCAGGUUUUCCGAAGGAAAAAACUGGUUAUUAGAUUGGCGAAUGCGGGCGGGCUGGCUGGCUGGCUGGCUGGCGGGCUGGCGGAAUAAGCUUGUCCGGGCCAUAACUAUGUCGUUCAUUGUCAGAUUUUAAAAUCAUUUGGCACAUUUGUUCACCAUCAUUGGACGGUGUGUCGCGCGAAAUAAUUACGUCGAUAUCUCCAAGGUCAAGGUCACACUUUGAGUUCAAAGGUCAAAAAUGGCCAUAAAUGAGCUUGUCCUGGCCAUAACUAUGUCAUUCAUUGUGAGAUUUUAAAAUCAUUUGGCACAUUUGUUCACCAUCAUGGGACGGUGUGUCCCACGAAAGAAUCACGUCAAUAUCUCCAAUGUCAAGGUCGCCACGACUAAAAAUAGAUUUAAAAAAAAAAAAAAAACUUACAAAGGGGGUUAAUUUUUUUUGGUCAUUUCAAAAGUU